rnacentral:lncRNA from 1 species
GGCGCAGUACUCACACCAGUGCGGGCCCCUGAACGUGUGCACCUUGAAGUUAUGAAUCUUCUCGUAUUUGGGAACAUGCUCGUUUUCUUUCAGCGUCGCUCUUCUGACAAGCGAUGUCAGCUGCGAAUAAGCAAAGAGUUUCAGAGGUUGCCAGAUCGUCACCGAGGACUUCUGCGCGCCCAGCUUCAUCCCCAGGGCUGCUAUCAGCAGAUCGGGCUGGCGGCCCUCUCGCUUGGAGUUGCGCACCGCCGAUCUAUUAGCUCUGUGCCCCGGCCACGACUCUUUGGACGGCAUUUUGGAACUGACGGGAGGAGAGCCGGCCGCGCCGCCGCCUGUCAGGCUCGCUCUGACGGCGCCGGGAGGGGCAUGGCAGCGGCGGCCCGCUGUGGGCACGGCUAGCUCGGCGGGACGCGGCGCUGCGGGGGGCUCCCCGCCGGCAUGGCGGCACCGGCCCGCAGCUCUCCGUCCGCCGGCGGCCGCGGCUGCGGAGCGCUCCCGCCGCCCCGCG